rnacentral:rRNA from 1 species
UACAGAGGUCUCGAGCGUUGUUCGGAUUCAUUGGGCGUAAAGGGUGCGUAGGUGGCGCCGUAAGUCGGGUGUGAAAUUUCGGAGCUUAACUCCGAAACUGCAUUCGAUACUGCGGUGCUUGAGGACUGGAGAGGAGACUGGAAUUCCCGGUGUAGCGGUGAAAUGCGUAGAGAUCGGGAGGAACACCAGAGGCGAAAGCGGCAACCUGGACAAGCACUGACACUCAACUACGAAAGCGUGGGGAGCAAACAGG